rnacentral:rRNA from 1 species
AUAGAUUUUGUUAUGAUAUAUAAUUCAAGAAAAUUGAUAUCUAGUUUUCUCAUAAAUUAAGUAAUUUAAGAGUUAUUAUAAGAAAGUUAAUAGGGUUUAGCUUAUUAACAUGUGUAAAAAUAUAAAAUAAAAAACUUUUUUGUGAAUUUGAAAUUGUUUAUUAAUUAUGGUUUUAUAAUAGAAAAAGGGAUAAAAUUAGAUUUAUAAUUUAAUAAUUUGCAUUGGUAUGAGAUAAUUUAAUAAAAUUAGAAUUUUAUAAAAAUAAUGGAAAAAUAAGUAAAAUAAUAUAUUAUUAUAUUUGAUGAUAAAAAAUAAUUAAAUUGUAAAUAAUGAAUUAGGCAAAAUAUUUUUUUGACUGUUUAGCAAAAACAUUGUUUCAUGAAUAGUAAUAUGAAGUAAUGUCUGUCCACUGAUUUAUUUGAAGGACUGCAGUAUAUUGACUGUAUUAAGGUAGCAUAAUCAUUAGCUUUUUAAUUGGAAGUUGGUAUGAAGGUAAAACAGAAAAAUUCUUUAUUUUUUACAUAAUUAAAAUUGAAUUUGAUUUUUAAAUGAAAAAUUUUAAAUAAAAAGGAGGGACAAGAAGACCCUAAUAAGUUUAAUUUUUUAAAUAUUUAAGUUAUAGGAGAGGAAAAUUAGAUAUUAUUAUUUAAAGAAUUUGGUUGGGGCGAUUGAUUUAAAAACAAAAAUUUUUUUUAAUUUUU